rnacentral:rRNA from 1 species
GAUGAACGCUGGCGGCGUGCUUAACACAUGCAAGUCGAACGAAGCACUUUAUUUGAUUUCCUUCGGGACUGAUUAUUUUGUGACUGAGUGGCGGACGGGUGAGUAUCUCGUGGGUAACCUGCCUUGUACAGGGGGAUAACAGUUGGAAACGGCUGCUAAUCCCGCAUAAGCGCCCGGCAUCGCAUGAUGCAUUGUGAAAAACUCCGGUGGUUUAAGAUGGACCCGCGUUGGAUUAGCUAGUUGGUGCGGUAACGGCCCACCAAGGCGACGAUCCAUAGCCGAGAUGAGAGGGUGACCGGCCACAUUGGGACUGAGACACGGCGCAAACUACUACGGGAGGCAGCAGAGGGGAAUAUUGCACAAUGGGCGAAAGGAUGAUGCAGCGACGCCGCGUGAGCGAAGAAGUAGUUCGGGAAGUAAAGCUCGAUAAGCAGGGAAGAUAAUGACGGUACCUGACGAAGAAGCACCGGCUAAAUACGUG